GUACCAAUCCGCCAGCUCGCGAUGUUCCAGUACCGGGGGUCUUGCCGGCCGUGCCGGUACUGGGUAUGAUGCCCUCUGCUAAAAGCGAUACAGGCGACUUCAUCGUGCUAUGGGGCCGAUCACGGUGGUGCGGUGCGUGGAACGUCGAUUUAUGCCACGGGCACUAGCGCCGGUGCGGCGGUUGGCACGCUGUGUGCCCUGGUGGUGGCUGAAGGCGGUUUGCUAGCGAACGCUUACGCCGAUGCCGCCGCCGCACCAUCGGAGUGAUGGUUUCCCUCUGCCGCUCGGGCUCCCCGGCUGGCGACUCGGCUGCAGCGGGGACAUCGCCACCGUUGCCGAGUGCGAUGGGGCGCGCGUCUUGACAGACACGUACUACCUCGUGCAGGAGGUGCUGCCUUGCCUGGCAAUGCGAUGCCGCGCGCAGCCGCCGCACAGCCCCGCCUUGCAGGUGGUCAUGACAUAUCAGGUGUACACGACCGGUGACCGCCACAGAAGUGCCCAGGUGCCUGCCGCGCGGGCGUUCAGUCCUGUCUCAUCGCCACCGAUCGCGGUGACGCUUUCAAGAGGCGACUCACCUAACGGCAGAGGCCUCGAGGACGAGGCGCACAAAGAGGGGUGCGACAUGCCGCAUGCGGAGGCAUCGCUUACGCGCUUCUCGGCGCAGCUUCGCACGAGCUCGAUUUGGAGCAGAAACAUCGCCGUAUCACCGCGGUCUCCUUCGCUGGCGAGAGAGUUGGCCUUUGCAGCGGUGCACCGAGGGCUACUGUGGACGCUGUGCGCCGGUUUCGCAUGCUGCGGGCCGUGUGAGAGGAGCCGCAUUGCCAGAUGCCUUUCCGCAAGGUGCAGCAGCAGCUGCUUACAGGCAACAGGUUGCGGAUGGCGCGCCAGCUGACGAGCGCGACCUAGCUGGUGAGAUGUCACGGAUCGGCUUCUCUGACAUGCACCGCCGCUGCGCGAGCAGUCCACCUUCUCGGCGUCUGACAGCGGUGCCAAAAGACGCGUAUUGGGUACCUGACGGCCGUGCAGCUGCUGGCCGCGCACAGGCAGGAGGAGGGGCAUGCUGUGCGGUAUGUUGCCGACGCGUACGCGAAAACAGUGGCCCGGGUGGCGAGGCACAUGUUGCUUGGCAUCCCUCGUUAUGGGGGUGGGGGCGGCGAUGGUGGAAUAAGACACCUGCCUUGUUCAGCAGAUCAUGCAGCGCGUGCCAGGCAUCGCCGGGGUGCAGCCAGCCGGCUCGCAGCUGCUGACCGGCCUCCAGCGAGGCUGGCGGAGACGAGGCCAUGAGAAGCUCAGAUGCGGCCGGCUUUCACGGUGAUCUUUGCCGCUUCGCCCCUCCAAACACAUACACGCAU
rnacentral:misc_RNA from 1 species